rnacentral:rRNA from 1 species
ACACAUGCAAGUCGAGGGGCAGCAUGGUCUUAGCUUGCUAAGGCCGAUGGCGACCGGCGCACGGGUGAGUAACACGUAUCCAACCUGCCGUCUACUCUUGGACAGCCUUCUGAAAGGAAGAUUAAUACAAGAUGGCAUCAUGAGUCCGCAUGUUCACAUGAUUAAAGGUAUUCCGGUAGACGAUGGGGAUGCGUUCCAUUAGAUAGUAGGCGGGGUAACGGCCCACCUAGUCUUCGAUGGAUAGGGGUUCUGAGAGGAAGGUCCCCCACAUUGGAACUGAGACACGGUCCAAACUCCUACGGGAGGCAGCAGUGAGGAAUAUUGGUCAAUGGGCGAGAGCCUGAACCAGCCAAGUAGCGUGAAGGAUGACUGCCCUAUGGGUUGUAAACUUCUUUUAUAAAGGAAUAAAGUCGGGUAUGGAUACCCGUUUGCAUGUACUUUAUGAAUAAGGAUCGGCUAACUCCGUGCCAGCAGCCGCGGUAAUACGGAGGAUCCGAGCGUUAUCCGGAUUUAUUGGGUUCAAAGGGAGCGUAGAUGGAUGUUUAAGUCAGUUGUGAAAGUUUGCGGCUCAACCGUAAAAUUGCAGUUGAUACUGGAUAUCUUGAGUGCAGUUGAGGCAGGCGGAAUUCGUGGUGUAGCGGUGAAAUGCUUAGAUAUCACGAAGAACUCCGAUUGCGAAGGCAGCCUGCUAAGCUGCAACUGACAUUGAGG